rnacentral:rRNA from 1 species
CCUACGGGAGGCAGCAGUAGGGAAUAUUGCUCAAUGGGGGAAACCCUGAAGCAGCAACGCCGCGUGGAGGAUGAAGGUUUUCGGAUUGUAAACUCCUUUUUUUAGAGAAGAUAAUGACGGUAUCUAACGAAUAAGCACCGGCUAACUCCGUCCCAGCAGCCGCGGUAAUACGGGGGGUGCAAGCGUUACUCGGAAUCACUGGGCGGAAAGCGGGCGUAGGCGGGAUAGCAAGUCAGAUGUGAAAUCGUUUGGCUUAACCAUCGAACUGCAUUUGAAACUGUUAGUCUAGAGUAGGGGAGAGGUAGGUGGAAUUCUUGGUGUAGGGGUAAAAUGCGUAGAGAUCAAGAGGAACACUCAUUGCGAAGGCGGCCUGCUAGAACUUAACUGACGCUGAGGCGCGAAAGCGUGGGGAGCGAACAGGAUUAGAUACCCGUGUAGUC